ensembl:snRNA U6 U6 spliceosomal RNA
GUGCUCACUUCAGCAGCAAAUACACUAAAAUUGGAAGAGCAUAAGAUUAGCAUAGCCCCUAUGCAAAAGUGACAUGCAAAUUUGUGAAGCAUUCCAUUUUUUU